UACGUAGGGGGCAAGCGUUGUCCGGAUUUAUUGGGCGUAAAGCGCUCGCAGGUGGUUCGUCGCGUCGUGCGUGAAAGACCCCGGCUCAACUGGGGAGUGUCGUGCGAUACGGGCGAACUGGAGGCCAGUAGGGGGAUGCGGAAUUCCGGGUGUAGUGGUGGAAUGCGUAGAGAUCAGGAAGAACACCGGUGGCGAAAGCGCUCUGCUAGGCCGCAACUGACACUGAGGGACGAAAGCUAGGGGAGCGAAUGGG
rnacentral:rRNA from 1 species